UGGGGAAUAUUGCACAAUGGGGGGAACCCUGAUGCAGCGAUGCCGCGUGGAGGAAGAAGGUUUUCGGAUUGUAAACUCCUUUUAUCAGGGACGAUAAUGACGGUACCUGAAGAAAAAGCUCCGGCUAACUACGUGCCAGCAGCCGCGGUAAUACGUAGGGAGCGAGCGUUGUCCGGAAUUACUGGGUGUAAAGGGAGCGUAGGCGGGAUUUUAAGUCAGAUGUGAAAGGUAAGGGCUCAACCCUUGAACUGCAUUUGAAACUGAGAUUCUUGAGUGAAGUAGAGGUAAGCGGAAUUCCUAGUGUAGCGGUGAAAUGCGUAGAUAUUAGGAGGAACAUCGGUGGCGAAGGCGGCUUACUGGGCUUUUACUGACGCUGAGGCUCGAAAGCGUGGGGAGCAAACAGG
rnacentral:rRNA from 1 species